GACGAACGCUGGCGGCGUGCUUAACACAUGCAAGUCGAACGGAAAGGCCCUGCUUUUGUGGGGUGCUCGAGUGGCGAACGGGUGAGUAACACGUGAGUAACCUGCCCUUGACUUUGGGAUAACUUCAGGAAACUGGGGCUAAUACCGGAUAGGAGCUCCUGCUGCAUGGUGGGGGUUGGAAAGUUUCGGCGGUUGGGGAUGGACUCGCGGCUUAUCAGCUUGUUGGUGGGGUAAUGGCUUACCAAGGCUUUGACGGGUAGCCGGCCUGAGAGGGUGACCGGCAACAUUGGGACUGAGAUACGGCCCAGACUCCUACGGGAGGCAGCAGUGGGGAAUAUUGCACAAUGGGCGGAAGCCUGAUGCAGCAACGCCGCGUGCGGGAUGACGGCCUUCGGGUUGUAAACCGCUUUCGCCUGUGACGAAGCGUGAGUGACGGUAAUGGGUAAAGAAGCACCGGCUAACUACGUG
rnacentral:rRNA from 1 species